GACGAACGCUGGCGGCGUGCUUAACACAUGCAAGUCGAACGGAAAGGCCCUGCUUUUGUGGGGUGCUCGAGUGGCGAACGGGUGAGUAACACGUGAGUAACCUGCCCUUGACUUUGGGAUAACUUCAGGAAACUGGGGCUAAUACCGGAUAGGAGCUCCUGCUGCAUGGUGGGGGUUGGAAAGUUUCGGCGGUUGGGGAUGGACUCGCGGCUUAUCAGCUUGUUGGUGGGGUAGUGGCUUACCAAGGCUUUGACGGGUAGCCGGCCUGAGAGGGUGACCGGCAACAUUGGGACUGAGAAACGGCCCAGACUCCGACGGGAGGCAGAAGGGGGGAAUAUUGCACAAGGGGCGGAAGCCUGAGGCAGCGCCCCCGCGUGAGGGAGGACGGCUUUCGGUUUGUAAACCGCUUUCGCCUGGGAAGAAGCGGGAGUGAGGGUAAUGGAAAAAGAAGCACCGGCUAACUACGUG
rnacentral:rRNA from 1 species